rnacentral:rRNA from 1 species
CCUACGGGGGGCUGCAGUGAGGAAUAUUGGUCAAUGGGCGCGAGCCUGAACCAGCCAAGUAGCGUGAAGGAUGACUGCCCUACGGGUUGUAAACUUCUUUUAUAAAGGAAUAAAGUGAGGCACGUGUGCCUUUUUGUAUGUACUUUAUGAAUAAGGAUCGGCUAACUCCGUGCCAGCAGCCGCGGUAAUACGGAGGAUCCGAGCGUUAUCCGGAUUUAUUGGGUUUAAAGGGAGCGUAGAUGGGUUGUUAAGUCAGUUGUGAAAGUUUGCGGCUCAACCGUAAAAUUGCAAUUGAUACUGGCAUUCUUUAGUUCAGUUGAGGUAGGCUGAAUUCGUGGUGUCGCGGUGCACUGCUUAGAUAUCACG